AGUGAACGCUGGCGGUAGGCCUAACACAUGCAAGUCGAACGGCAGCACAGUAAGAGCUUGCUCUUACGGGUGGCGAGUGGCGGACGGGUGAGGAAUACAUCGGAAUCUACUUUUUCGUGGGGGAUAACGUGGGGAAACUUACGCUAAUACCGCAUACGACCUACGGGUGAAAGCAGGGGAUCUUCGGACCUUGCCCGAUUGAAUGAGCCGAUGCCGGAUUAGCUAGUUGGCGGGGUAAAGGCCCACCAAGGCGACGAUCCGUAGCUGGUCUGAGAGGAUGAUCAGCCACACUGGAACUGAGACACGGUCCAGACUCCUACGGGAGGCAGCAGUGGGGAAUAUUGGACAAUGGGCGCAAGCCUGAUCCAGCCAUACCGCGUGGGUGAAGAAGGCCUUCGGGUUGUAAAGCCCUUUUGUUGGGAAAGAAAAGCAGCAGGUUAAUACCCCGCUGUUCUGACGGUACCCAAAGAAUAAGCACCGGCUAACUUCGUG
rnacentral:rRNA from 1 species